GACGAACGCUGGCGGCGUGCCUAAUACAUGCAAGUAGAACGCACAGUUUAUACCGUAGCUUGCUACACCAUAGACUGUGAGUUGCGAACGGGUGAGUAACGCGUAGGUAACCUGCCUGGUAGCGGGGGAUAACUAUUGGAAACGAUAGCUAAUACCGCAUAAUAUUGAUUAUUGCAUGAUAAUUAAUUGAAAGGUGCAAUUGCACCACUACCAGAUGGACCUGCGUUGUAUUAGCUAGUAGGUGAGGUAACGGCUCACCUAGGCGACGAUACAUAGCCGACCUGAGAGGGUGAUCGGCCACACUGGGACUGAGACACGGCCCAGACUCCUACGGGAGGCAGCAGUAGGGAAUCUUCGGCAAUGGACGAAAGUCUGACCGAGCAACGCCGCGUGAGUGAAGAAGGUUGUCGGAUCGUAAAGCUCGGUUGUAAGAGAAGAACGGGUGUGAGAGUGGAAAGUUCACACUGUGACGGUAUCUGACCAGAAAGGGACGGCUAACUACGUG
rnacentral:rRNA from 1 species